rnacentral:rRNA from 1 species
UACAGAGGGGGCGAGCGUUGUUCGGAAUUACUGGGCGUAAAGGGCGCGUAGGCGGCCAACUAAGUCCGACGUGAAAUCCCCAGGCUUAACCUGGGAACUGCGUCGGAUACUGGAUGGCUUGAAUUCGGGAGAGGGAUGCAGAAUUCCAGGUGUAGCGGUGAAAUGCGUAGAUAUCUGGAGGAAUACCGGUGGCGAAGGCGGCAUCCUGGACCGACAUUGACGCUGAGGAGCGAAAGCUAGGGGAGCAAACGGG